ACUGUCCCACCAGUCGAUGUUAUAGUUACCAGUCCAGACUCCGGAUCAAGCUAGUGGCCGGCGAGGUUGAUCACGGGUAGGGAGGAGCCGGGUUCUGUCGAUCGCGACACGAUGCUCCGGGGAAGUCUGGGCAGGACGAACCCACCCGUGUACUCUGC